UCACUGUAUAAAAUAGUAUGUAAGGAGUACAGUAUUUUCUGGCGUAUAAGAUGACUUUUUAACCCUGGAAAAUCUUCUCCAAAGUUGGGGGUCGUCUUAUACGCCGGGUAUAGGGUCUAUAUAGCUGCCGGGGGCGCCCUGCGCCCCCAUCGCCGGCCCUUCUAUAGAAAGCGCUCAGACGGCUGCCGCACUGCCUCUCUUCUCACCUCCCCUUCCCUGUGCAGAUUGGGUGGCCGAGCUCCUCUUCGUCCUGUCAGUCCUGAGUGCUCACUUCCUUUCAGUCCAGCCGGGAACAGGUAACUGAAUCUCCUGUACCGCGCAGGAGGUGAGAAG